UACGUAGGGUCCGAGCGUUGUCCGGAAUUAUUGGGCGUAAAGGGCUCGUAGGCGGUUCGUCACGUCGGGAGUGAAAACUCGGAGCUUAACUCCGAGCCUGCUUCCGAUACGGGCGGGCUGGGAUUCGGUAGGGGAGACUGGAAUUCCUGGUGUAGCGGUGAAAUGCGCAGAUAUCAGGAGGAACACCGAUGGCGAAGGCAGGUCUCUGGGCAUUAACUGACGCUGAGGAGCGAAAGCAUGGGGAGCGAACAGG
rnacentral:rRNA from 1 species